CCCAAACGGCGAGCUCACGGCCACGGCGGCCGCGGCGGCGGCCAGCGGCCCGGGCAGCAGGCGCGGCGCCAGCGGCUUGGACGGCUCCUUGGAGAAGACCAGCUUCACCUGCAGGGCGGGGAGAAAGAAGAGCAGGAACUGACAAAUGAAAUCCUCCAAGAAAGGCUCCACUCUACCUGGACGCAGAAGUGACACUCACCCCCAGCGGAUGCGCAGCCUUCUGCAGUUUGUUGUAAGGGCUGUAUUUAGGUUUCGGGGGCUUCCCAGCAGCUCUGUCUUUGUGCCUUCUACUGCUAAUGUGCUAUUAAAAGCAAUGAAAAGGGACAGCUUUAAAGAAAUCAUCCUCCAAACCCCUCAAAAGUAUUGUUUUAACCUGGGGAAGGAUAUUAAUUAUUUCAUGCAAGUUGCAGAAAGACAGAAAUAAAAGAGCAUGCACUUUUGUCCUUG